GCCAUUGUUGGAAUUCCCGCCCGGAGGCCUCCGCAGGCACCUUGUCCUGUGAGGCAGUCAAGCCAGACAGAGCGCAAAGGAAGAAGGAAAGGUUAUAUCUCAGCUGCCAAAAAUGAGACAGUGUGAAGAACAGAAACCAAUGCCAUGAGCAGCCCCAGAUGAAUCCUGUGAUGGCUCGUCUGUGAGCAGAAAGAUGAUAGUUACUCUCUUGAGCCAUACAAGUACGAGGCUGGCCCCAAUCCUUCCCGAUAAGCAUCAAAUGGCGACAACUAGCUACAAGAAAUUCCUCCAGCAACAGAAUAAGUAUUGGCACGACAAGAAAUAAUCUACUGAUGGGAAUAGAGGCACUGAAAAUCAUCCCCUGACUAGUCAAUCCCAAAUUCACCUGCAAAUCCUCAUCCUGACACAAUCAGGAAGAUGUCAAAUGCAGGCACAUCAUGGACAGAUCUUGUACAUCUUUUCAGCAAUUCACCUUGGCCCUGAGCUAGAAGGAACUCCUGUUAGAGCUUCCAGGGACUUAAAAAUUUCAUUGAGGAGACAGUUUCUUUCAACCUUCAUGUCCAAUUCUGACACAGUCCUAAGAGCUGCCCGUAAUAUCCAGAAGG
rnacentral:lncRNA from 1 species